rnacentral:rRNA from 2 species
AGUAAACGGCGGCCGUAACUAUAACGGUCCUAAGGUAGCGAAAUUCCUUGUCGGGCAAGUUCCGACCUGCACGAAUGGCAUAAUAAUGGCCACACUGUCUCCUCCCGAGACUCAGUGAAAUUGAAAUGUUUGUGAUGAUGCAAUCUCCCCGCGGCUAGACGGAAAGACCCCAUGAACCUUAACUGUAGCUUUGCAUUGGACUUUGAACCGAUCUGUGUAGGAUAGGCGGGAGGCUUUGAAGAAUGGACGCCAGUUCAUUCGGAGCCGUCGUUGAAAUACCGCCCUGAUUUGUUUGAGGUUCUAACCUGGGCCAGUAAUCCUGGCUGGGGACCGUGCAUGGUGGGCAGUUUGACUGGGGCGGUCUCCUCCUAAAGGGUAACGGAGGAGUGCGAAGGUACGCUAAUCACGGUCGGAAAUCGUGAGGAUACUGCAAUGGGAAAAGCGUGCCUGACUGCGAGACAGACAAGUCGAGCAGAUGCGAAAGCAGGUCAUAGUGAUCCGGUGGCUUCUGUAUGGAAGGGCCAUCGCUCAACGGAUAAAAGGUACUCUGGGGAUAACAGGCUGAUACCGCCCAAGAGUUCAUAUCGACGGCGGUGUUUGGCACCUCGAUGUCGGCUCAUCUCAUCCUGGGGCUGUAGCCGGUCCCAAGGGUAUGGCUGUUCGCCAUUUAAAGAGGUACGUGAGCUGGGUUUAAAACGUCGUGAGACAGUUUGGUCCCUAUCUACCGCGGGCGCUGGAAGAUUGACAGGGGCUGCUCCUAGUACGAGAGGACCGGAGUGGACGCACCUCUGGUGUAUCGGUUGUGACGCCAGUCGCAUUGCCGAGUAGCUAUGUGCGGAAGAGAUAACCGCUGAAAGCAUCUAAGCGGGAAACUUGCCUGAAGAUUAGUCUUCCCGGAGGCUUGACCUCCCUGAAGGGUCGUCCGAGACCAGGACGUUGAUAGGCCAGGUGUGGAAGCGCUGUGAGGCGUGAAGCUAACUGGUACUAAUUGCCCGUGCGGCUUGAUCCU